CGGGGAUGACGUCAAAUCAUCAUGCCCUUUAUGUCCUGGGCUACACACGUGCUACAAUGGCCUGUACAAAGGGCAGCAAAGGGGCGACCCGGAGCAAAUCCCAAAAAACAGGUCUACAGUUCGGAUUGCAGGCUGCAACUCGCCUGCAUGAAGGCGGAAUCGCUAGUAAUCGCAGGUCAGCAUACUGCGGUGAAUACGUUCCCGGGCCUU
rnacentral:rRNA from 1 species